rnacentral:tRNA from 16 species
CGUGGCCCAGCGGUAGCGCAGUACAUUUUUGUCCACGCUACGCUGGUUCGAUUCCCAGUUUGGCC